rnacentral:rRNA from 1 species
UACGGAGGAUGCAAGCGUUAUCCGGAAUGAUUGGGCGUAAAGCGUCCGCAGGUGGCUGUGUAAGUCUGCUGUCAAAGAGCGAAGCUCAACUUCGUAAAGGCAGUGGAAACUACACGGCUAGAGUGCGUUCGGGGCAGAGGGAAUUCCUGGUGUAGCGGUGAAAUGCGUAGAGAUCGGGAAGAACAUCGGUGGCGAAAGCGCUCUACUGGACCGCAACUGACACUCAGGGACGAAAGCUAGGGGAGCGAAUGGG